rnacentral:lncRNA from 1 species
GCUGAACUCACUGCUGGGGUCCUCGGUUCCUCGGGUCCGAACCUACACAGGUGGACUCAAAUGAGGGACCAAACAACUAGAACAUAACUCUAAAAACAUCCCCCAAAAACCCCCUAAAACACCUCAAACAAUCAUGCAAAAACAUGCAAAGGAAGGCAGAACAGGGCAGGUUCGGCGGCACCUUCGGCGGCCGAAAGUCCCUCCAGAGCCGAAACCUAGGCAAGUUCGGCGGCACCUUCGGCGGCCGAAAGUCCCAGACAGAGACGAAAGUCUCUUUUCGGGGGCAACUUCGGCAGCCGAAAGGCCUGCCUCCCCAGCCAUGUUCGACGGCCGAAAGUUCCUUCGGCUGCCGAAUCUGGUUUCUGCCAAAGGGCAGAAACUUGGCUCCUUUAUGCACAUUUGCCUCCCAAAUCCUUCAACAUGCAUAUAACUCAUUCAAAUCAUGCAAAUAUACAUACAUUGGCUCCUAGGGGCUUCAAACUAACUUAAACCCCAACUACAACACACAACAACAACUCAAAUCCAACAUACAUGCUCAAAACAUAACAUUAACUCAAAAACCUAACUAUGAGCUAAACAUGCAUUCUACCCCAUAGAUCUUGCAUAAAACUUACUUUAAACAUGAAAUGAGCUUAAGAUCGGCUCUUACCUCUUGAAGAUCGAGAGAGAGACGUCCUAAACUCGAAGGUGGGAGAUUUUGAGUUCUUGAACCUCAAAGCUCCAAAACUUGCUUUAAACUCGA